rnacentral:rRNA from 1 species
GAGUUUGAUCCUGGCUCAGGACGAGCGCUGGCGGCGUGCUUAACACAUGCAAGUCGAGCGAUGAAGUUCCUUCGGGAACGGAUUAGCGGCGGACGGGUGAGUAACACGUGGGUAACCUGCCUCAUAGAGGGGAAUAGCCUUCCGAAAGGAAGAUUAAUACCGCAUAAGAUUGUAGUUUCGCAUGAAACAGCAAUUAAAGGAGCAAUCCGCUAUGAGAUGGACCCGCGUCGCAUUAGCUAGUUGGUGAGGUAACGGCUCACCAAGGCGACGAUGCGUAGCCGACCUGAGAGGGUGAUCGGCCACAUUGGGACUGAGACACGGUCCAGACUCCUACGGGAGGCAGCAGUAGGGAAUAUUGCACAAUGGGCGAAAGCCUGAUGCAGCAACGCCGCGUGAGUGAUGAAGGCCUUCGGGUUGUAAAGCUCUGUCUUUUGGGACGAUAAUGACGGUACCAGAGGAGGAAGCCACGGCUAACUACGUGCCAGCAGCCGCGGUAAUACGUAGGUGGCAAGCGUUGUCCGGAUUUACUGGGCGUAAAGAAUGCGUAGGCGGAUACUUAAGUCAGAUGUGAAAUUCCCGGGCUUAACUUGGGAGCUGCAUUUGAAACUGGGUAUCUAGAGUGCGGGAGAGGAAAGUGGGAUUCCUAGUGUAGCGGUGAAAUGCGUAGAGAUUAGGAAGAACACCAGUGGCGAAGGCGACUUUCUGGACCGUAACUGACGCUGAGGCAUGAAAGCGUGGGGAGCAAACAAGAUUAGAUACCCUGGUAGUCCACGCCGUANACGAUGAAUAC